rnacentral:sRNA from 1 species
GCUGGGUGGGGUGGUACACACCUGUAAUCCCAGUGACUCAGGAGGCUGAGGCAGGAGGAUCACAAGUUGAAAGCCAGCCUCAGCAAAAAUUGAGGCACUUAGCAACUCAGUGAGACCCUGUCUCUA